AUUGAACGCUGGCGGCAUGCCUUACACAUGCAAGUCGAACGGUAACAGGUUAAGCUGACGAGUGGCGAACGGGUGAGUAAUGUAUCGGAACGUGCCCAGUCGUGGGGGAUAACUGCUCGAAAGAGCAGCUAAUACCGCAUACGACCUGAGGGUGAAAGCGGGGGAUCGCAAGACCUCGCGCGAUUGGAGCGGCCGAUAUCAGAUUAGGUAGUUGGUGAGGUAAAGGCUCACCAAGCCGACGAUCUGUAGCUGGUCUGAGAGGACGACCGGCCACACUGGGACUGAGACACGGCCCAGACUCCUACGGGAGGCAGCAGUGGGGAAUUUUGGACAAUGGGCGCAAGCCUGAUCCAGCCAUGCCGCGUGCGGGAAGAAGGCCUUCGGGUUGUAAACCGCUUUUGUCAGGGAAGAAAAGGUUCUGGCUAAUACCUGGGACUCAUGACGGUACCUGAAGAAUAAGCACCGGCUAACUACGUG
rnacentral:rRNA from 1 species